GUCUACGGCCAUACCACCCUGAACGCGCCCGAUUUCGUCUGAUCUCGGAAGCUAAGCAGGGUCGGGCCUGGUUAGUACUUGGAUGGGAGAAUAUAGUACAGUCACUAUACAUC
ensembl:rRNA 5S_rRNA 5S ribosomal RNA